UACGGGGGGGGCAAGCGUUGUUCGGAAUUACUGGGCGUAAAGGGCUCGUAGGUGGCCAACUAAGUCACACGUGAAAUCCCUCGGCUUAACCGGGGAACUGCGUCCGAUACUGGAUGGCUUGAGUUCGGGAGAGGGAUGCGGAAUUCCAGGUGUAGCGGUGAAAUGCGUAGAUAUCUGGAGGAACACCGGUGGCGAAGGCGGCAUCCUGGACCGACACUGACGCUGAGGAGCGAAAGCCAGGGGAGCAAACGGG
rnacentral:rRNA from 1 species